CAAUAAGGGAAGCCUGAUUCUAAGGAGCUUUGAGAGGGUGUCCACAUUCUGUGAGGCCUCAUGCGCCUCUGCGGCUUCAUCAGGAAUACAGUACCAGAGACAUAAGCCAAGAGGCAGCACGAGCACUUGGAAAAGGGUUGGAGCCUUUUUUGUAUAACAAGAUUCUGAGAUUCAUGCUGAGAAAAAGUCAAAAGUUCAACUGUAACCUCAAGGACAGAGCACUUUGUAUUCAGUCUUUCCUGCUCAAUAUAAAAAGAACUAUCAGAGUCAUGGCUAAAUGAUUUUCACAUAUCAUGGGGUUCUGUGGAACAUAACUCCCACCACAGUCACCUUCAAUCAAAUUGCCUCCACUGAAUAAACUUAUAUCUCAAAGACUCAUGGUCUACCGUGGUUCGGUGAGAUAGUGCAUCGUGUAUGUCCGCCAUGCAUGUCAGUGCACCAGAGACGUUAUCACACCCA
rnacentral:lncRNA from 1 species